rnacentral:lncRNA from 10 species
UUAGAAAUGGGGUCCUGCUCCGUCACCUAGGCUGGCAGUACAGUGGUGUGAUCACGGCUCACUGCAACCUUGAACUCCUGGGCUCAAGCGAUUUUCCUGCCUCAGCCUUCCAAAUUGCUGGGAUUAGAGACAUGAGCCACUGUGCCCAGUCUCUCCCUUUACAUUUCAAUCAUCUAAGCAAGCUGAGAAUAAGAGACAUGACUUGCCACAUUCAAGAAGCUGAAAGUGAAGUAACACACAUUUACCUGAUUCCAGAGCCUGUGUUGUUUUGCUGUGGCCCAUUGCCCCACAAGCCUCCAGUGACACCCAGACCUAGAACUAGAGGCCUGGGAAAGUACCAGAUUAGAGUUUAGGGCUACAAGAUGAUAAAUGAUGGACUUAGUCCAGAGUGUGCAUUUUAAUGGGGUAACGCCUAAAGGAUGAAUUCGGUACUGUGAUACUUAGGGUAUUUGCUUAUUUAUUUAUUUUGUUCUUACUCUUAUGUGGCAUAAUUGCAUUUAUGAGAUAAGACAUUAAAAACUAUUCUAUCCUCAGAAUGGUUUGUGUCAUCUGCUCUUUGAGAGUUAAUUUUUUGUUCAUGUGUUUGUUUAACUACAUGGAAUUUGAAGAUAAAUGUCAAUGGUCAGAUUUUCUUUUUUUUUUUGGCAGCCUUACUUUGUCACCCAGGCUGGAGUGCAGUGGCACGAUCUCAGCUCACUGCAGCCUCCGCCUCCCGGGUUCAAGUGAUUCUCCUGCCUCAGCUUCCCAAGUAGCUGGGAUUACAGGCGCCCGCCACCAUGCGUAGCUAAUUUUCUUGUAUUUUUAGUAGACACAGGGUUUCACCAUGUUGGUUAGGCUGGUGUCAAACUCCUGACCUCAAGUGAUUUGCCCACCUUGGCCUUCCAAAGGGUUGGCAUUACAGGUGCGAGCCACUGUGGCCAAGGUCAUAUUUUUUUUCCACAAGUAUGUAAUAGAGAUUUAGGAAAGCCAUAGUUGGCUAUAUUCAAGGAAAUUAAAUUGUUUUUAAAUAAAAAUCCAUGAAACUACAAUAUACAAAAGUUAGUAAGCAUCAUAAACAUGAAGUAAACUAGAAGUAUGUACUAGAGAGCAUUAUUCCUUAUUAAGUGUUAAGAAAAGUUUUAUUAAUAACAUUAAUUCUCUAGAUAAUCACUUUUUAUAUCCUUUCAAGAUGUCUCUAUCUUGAAACAUUUAUCUGCCACAUUAUAAAAAUAGAUAUUAUUUUAUUCAUUUAUAGAAUACUCACUGUGUUUAAGGCACUAUUCUGGACAUCGAGCUGCAAUAGUGAACAUAAUCAAGUUUCUGCUCUCAUUAAGCUUUGCUUCUAGUGAAGACACAAAUAACAAAUAACUAAACAAAUGAGUAAUCUAAUAUUUCUAUAUGUAUUAGUUAGAGCUAAGUACCCCCUGCUCCUCCAAGCUUCCAAGCCUCCAAGCCUCCCUCCUCCAAAAUGACUAAAAUCAUGUAUUUUUCUUUCCAUAGUCUUAAGGUGCCUGGUAGUGAGUAGCUCAAUCCCUGUGCACAUUAGAAAGAAUUAGGAUUCCUUCCAGGUAUCUGCUGCACCAUCUCCUAUGGCAUUGUUGGCUGAUUAAGCUAGGUCACCAUUACAUACAGGUGACAGCUGCCAGGAGGAUCUUAAGCUACCAGCGGCUUCCCCGCAGCACAUUGUAUUGGAGGGAACUUAGAAAUGAAAGGAUGCCAAUGAACGUGUGGCUAGGUGACCAUGUGGUCAGCUUCAAUUCCAUUACUUUGGAAGGAGAAGAGAGAGGAUUUUAAUGGCUAUCUAGUAGUCUCUGCAUAAUUUUGUACAGUUGUUUAACAACAUAGGAGAUGAUUAUGGAGAUUAUUAUGGUAAAUUGUCAUAAAAAUUUCUCUACAAGCGUUGAUUAACCAUUCUACUGGAGCAUACAGUUUGUUUCCAUUGUUUUAUUACUAUGGACAAGUUAAAAUAUUAGUGGUUCAUGAUUACAUUUUUUAUUAUCUCCUUAAGGUAUAUUUAUAGAAAUAAACUUACUAGUAAUAUUUGGACAACUUUACUUGUUGUUAAUCAUUUUCCAAAAGUAUUAUAUACAUUUUCAUUUACCUAUAGAAUUUUUUUCACACUCUUGCUAGAAAUGAACAUGGAUCUUGUUACUUAUUAAUAUGAGAGACAAAACCACUAUCUUGUUUCAUUAAAUAUUUCUUUGAUUACUAUUUGUCUGAUUUUUUCUCCAGUAUUUUUUAGGUAAUUACAUUUCUUUCAUGUACCUGUUGGGAUACUUCAAUUACAUUGUAUAAAUUGUUAUAGAUUAAGUAUUAAUCCUUUGUUAUAUUUGUUACCAGUGUGUGUUUUUCUUAAGUACUUUUAAAUAUUGUACUUUUAAAUGUUAUAUGGAAAAUAUACUUUUAAAAUAUACAAUUAUGUUCUAGUAAUAACACUUAUUAAAACUUCCAACAUCUCCAGUCAAUGGUAUUCAGCAGUCACCUCUUCUUUCGCUUGCAUGUGGAUCUUUCAGACAUACGACUCGACACAAACUGAGUAUCUUCAUAGGAGCCCUUCUCAGACUGAGUCAUAGUUUGGAAAAGUGUUAUCCAGUUUGGGAGAAGGUGCCUCCUGCUUUUUACUAUUUCUUCAGAACAUAACCUAAAGUAUGUGAUCUUAGAUGACAUUUGUCCAUCUUUAUUCACUUCAUUUGUCCUUUGAGAGAAAUUUGAAAGGAGAAGGUACAAGGUAGUGUGAGUUCUCUUCUCACGGUUGAGCUUCCUCCACACAUUUGGUUGUCCCAUUCAUUCUCAUCAUAAUAUCCCAGGUGGCUCAUUCUCAAACAACUUUCUUUUAACCAGUCCUAACAUUUUAGGAUGUAUUUUUAAAGAAUGAAUGACUUUAUGAAGUUCACAGUCAACAUUUAAGCAUGAAAAUACACAAAAAUUCCCUUUCUCAAAAGUAUAUAAUUGAAGUCUUGUAGGAAUAUUUUAUGUUUUAAAAAUAUACCAGUCAGCUUUUGCUAAGUUAGAAAGUGAAGUAAACAUAAUUUUAAGCCAGGCGGGGUGGCUCACACCUCUAAUCCCAGCACUUUGGGAGGCAGGUGGAUUGCUUGAGCCCAAGAGUUGGAGACCAGCCUAAACAACAUGGCAAAAUCCUAUCUCUAACAAAAAUACAAAAAAGCCAGGUAUGGUUGUGCAUGCCUGCAGUCCCAGCUACUUGAGAGGCAGAGGUGGGAGGAUCACUUGAGUCUGGGAGGUUGAGGCUGCAGUGAGCCACGAUUGCACCACUU